UUACAACUUUCAGCAACGGAUCUCUUGGCUCUCGCAUCGAUGAAGAACGCAGCGAAUUGCGAUAAGUAAUGUGAAUUGCAGAUUUUCAGUGAAUCAUCGAAUCUUUGAACGCACCUUGCGCUCCUUGGUAUUCCGAGGAGCAUGCCUGUUUGAGUGUC
rnacentral:rRNA from 1 species